rnacentral:rRNA from 1 species
UUAAGUGACGAUAGCCUAGGAGAUACACCUGUACCCAUGCCGAACACAGUAGUUAAGCCCUAGAACGCCUGAAGUAGUUGGGGGUCGCCCCCUGUUAGAUACGGUAGUCGCUUAGC